UGUUAGUGAUGGCUGGCUGGAGAGGGGCUUGCAGGGCUGCUAAUUGGGCGGCUUUGCUGGGCCGCCAGCCCGGCUCAGGCCGCCGGGCGCUAACGA